rnacentral:rRNA from 1 species
AUUGAACGCUGGCGGCAGGCCUAACACAUGCAAGUCGAGCGGCAGCGGGAAGUAGCUUGCUACUUUGCCGGCGAGCGGCGGACGGGUGAGUAAUGUCUGGGAAACUGCCUGAUGGAGGGGGAUAACUACUGGAAACGGUAGCUAAUACCGCAUAACGUCGCAAGACCAAAGAGGGGGACCUUCGGGCCUCUUGCCAUCAGAUGUGCCCAGAUGGGAUUAGCUAGUAGGUGGGGUAAUGGCUCACCUAGGCGACGAUCCCUAGCUGGUCUGAGAGGAGGACCAGCCACACUGGAACUGAGACACGGUCCAGACUCCUACGGGAGGCAGCAGUGGGGAAUAUUGCACAAUGGGCGCAAGCCUGAGGCAGCCAUGCCGCGUGUAUGAAGAAGGCCUUCGGGUUGUAAAGUACUUUCAGCGGGGAGGAAGGUGUUGAGGUUAAUAACCUCAGCAAUUGACGUUACCCGCAGAAGAAGCACCGGCUAACUCCGUGCCAGCAGCCGCCGUAA